UACGUAGGGUGCAAGCGUUGUCCGGAAUUAUUGGGCGUAAAGAGCUCGUAGGCGGUUUGUCGCGUCUGCUGUGAAAACUCGGGGCUUAACUCCGGGCCUGCAGUGGGUACGGGCAGACUAGAGUGCGGUAGGGGAGACUGGAAUUCCUGGUGUAGCGGUGGAAUGCGCAGAUAUCAGGAGGAACACCGAUGGCGAAGGCGGCCUGCUGGGCCGAUCCUGACGCUGGAGGCGCGAAGGCGUGGGGAGCGAACGGG
rnacentral:rRNA from 1 species